rnacentral:rRNA from 1 species
CCUACGGGUGGCAGCAGUGGGGAAUAUUGGGCAAUGGGCGCAAGCCUGACCCAGCAACGCCGCGUGAAGGAAGAAGGCUUUCGGGUUGUAAACUUCUUUUCUCAGGGACGAAGAAAGCGACGGUACCUGAGGAAUAAGCCACGGCUAACUACGUGCAAGCAGCCGCGGUAAUACGUAGGUGGCAAGCGUUAUUCGGAUUUACUGGGUGUAAAGGGCGUGUAGGCGGGGACGCAAGUCAGCUGUGAAAACCAUGGGCUCAACCUGUGUACUGCAUUUGAUACUGUGUUUCUUGAGUACUGGAGAGGCAGGCGGAAUUCCUAGUGUAGCGGUGAAAUGCGUAGAUAUUAGGAGUAACACCAGUGGCGAAGGCGGUCUGCUGGACAGUAACUGACGCUGAGGCGCGAAAGCGUGGGGAGCAAACAGGAUUAGAUACCCUGGUAGUC